GUGAAGUCGGAAUCGCUAGUAAUCGUGAAUCAGAAUGUCACGGUGAAUACGUUCCCGGGCCUUGUACACACCGCCCGUCACACCAUGGGAGUGGGUUGCACCAGAAGUAGCUAGUCUAACCUUCGGGAGGACGGUUACCACGGUGUGAUUCAUGACUGGGGUGAAGUCGUAACAAGGUAGCCGUAGGGGAACCUGCGGCUGGAUCACCUCCUUA
rnacentral:rRNA from 1 species